GACCAGCGUAGUGACUUUUCACAUCCUUCCCUAAGGAUAAUAAUAGAGACAAACAAAGCUAUAGCAAACACGUUUAUCUUUGCCAAAUGUGUCUCAAGUCCCUGAACAGCAGGACAGUGAUAGGAUCACAUGGCUUUUGGGGAUCAUUAUGAUAGUGGAGAGCCCAGCCACUGAGGGAGGAAUUUACUAAGCAUAUACAGAGAGAUUCAAAGGCAGGGUGUAGCUGGACGGACAGACUGGAGCGUUCACUAUCAAGUCCGUCAUUUCUGAAAAUAGAUGUGUACGUAUACGAUAAAUCCUUAAGAAUGGAAUCACGUCCACUUGGAAUUUCAACUGUUCUGUGUAUAGUGAGUAUCUCACCUCUGGUCCAACCAGCACUGACUAUGUUAUAAAUGUGACUGUUUAUUGCUAAAUAACUGUAUACAAUUUUAACCCAUUACAUUUCUUGUGUCUCUACCAGCUCAAGUAAGCUCUCCCACCAUCAGAAGGGGAAAUUCUCAAAACUUGGCUCAGCGUGUAGUGGUGUGUUCUGUGGAGAAUGGGAGAGAGGUGAUUCUGUCCUGGUACAGAGGAAUUGACCAUGCUUAACCAGACCAGCAGUCCAGAUACCAAUACGGACCCUUCUGUCUCUCUGGUGACAGAACAUGAAGAUAAUAGCACCUACUAUUGCUCAGCCUCGAAUCCAGUCAGCAAUAGUUCAAUCCAACUUAACAUUUCUGAGGUCUGUGUCCAAGAAAUUGCUGCAGAUUCUACUACAUCCCUGCAAAUAUUUGGAGUGCUAUGCCUGAUUGUACUGGUGGGUCUCCUCAUGGUGGUACUAUAUUGCACAUACAAGAGACUAACAGUAAUCAAAUUUGAAGCUGAGCACAGCGUUGAGGAGAUAAACUAUGCUGAUGUCAGCAUUCAAGGAAAUGCAUCAACACCCCAUGUGCGAAUGGAGGUCACUAGAGAAACUGCUACAUCUGAAACAGAGAUCUUGGUGCGGUGUGCAGAGGACAUGGUACUGUACUCAGAUGUUAAGACUCUCUGAGCUGGUGGUUAUAACACAUAUGAAAGUCUAUGACACGGCUCCUCAGAAUGUUACAAAAAUGUACAUUAAUUUGAAUGGGACACCACAACGUUCAGAGGUCUGAUAUUUCUUUGUAUUGACCACUGCAAAAAAUGAAUGGCCGCUGCCAUUGGCAUCAGGUUUGUGCAUCUAAUUCACAUCUUUCAUAUCAUUCGGCAAGUAGUCCUUUCACUUAAUGUGGUGGAAAUGAAUUGUAACUUAAAGUUAGCAAGUAAGUUGCAAUGCAACACUGAAUCUUUAAAGUUCUAUUUGUGUGAGAAAAAAAAAUGUCCUAGCAGAAGUCACGAAAAUGCAACAAAAUCAUUAAAAAGGUUUUUCAUGGAGGUUUUUCAUCAUUUUGGCAAGUAACCGUAUAAUAAGCGAUGCAUCCUGUUUGUCCCGUCGGGAUUAAUUUUCCUAUACUGACCGAUGGACUAUAUAUUGUCCCUUACAUAAUUUCAGUCGCUUUGUGUUAUGUUCCUCAUAUAAAGCCAUUAUUUAAACCCUUUGCUUUUCAUGUGUGAUACUUUGUUAGGUGUAUUUUGGGGCCACAUUCACAUUCAUAUUUGACACAUUUUUCAUUUACACACGAGGAGGUGUGGAAUUCAUUCUGUUGUGGCUUCUUAUGUAAUAUACCCAAGUUUUUAUCCACUAAGAAAAAAAUUCUACAAUUUGUUUAUCCAUACUUAUUCAACCUUUAGCUUUGUAUCUUUUGCUUCACCUGAGAGUUAUUGUGAAGAUUGUGUCCAUACAUAAAUGCAGUGUUGACCUGAAAACUUAAGGCUGUUUUGUCUCCACCUCUGUCUUAUGUCCAUGCCCACCUGUUGUACUGUAGGCACUCUGGUUGACUAUAAUUAUAAUUUUACUACUA
rnacentral:lncRNA from 1 species